rnacentral:snRNA from 1 species
AUGCCUGGCUUUUCCUCAGUUGUCAAAUAAAUUUUUCGCCUUUUACUAAAGAUUUUCGUGGAGAGGAGCACUUCGUGGCUUGACCUAUUAGCUUGAGUCCAUAAGUGAUAAAUAAGAUU